AGAACGAACGCUGGCGGCAGGCCUCAAACAUGCAAGUCUAGGGGGUGUAGCAAUACAUCACCGGCGGACGGGUGCGUAACGCGUGGGAAUGUACCUAUUGGUUCGGAACAACUGAGGGAAACUUCAGCUAAUACCGGAUGAGCCCGAAAGGGGAAAGAUUUCUCGCCAAUAGAUCAGCCCGCGUCCGAUUAGCUAGUUGGUGGGGUUAAAGCCUACCAAGGCGACGAUCGGUAGCUGUUCUGAGAGGAAGAUCAGCCACACUGGGACUGAGACACGGCCCAGACUCCUACGGGAGGCAGCAGUUGGGAAUCUUGGACAAUGGGGGAAACCCUGAUCCAGCCAUGCCGCGUGAGUGAUGAAGGCCUUCGGGUUGUAAACUCUUUCGACGGGGACGAUAAUGACGGUACCCGUAGAAGAGCUCCGGCUAACUUCGCGCCAGCAGCCGC
rnacentral:rRNA from 1 species